UAAAUGACUCUCGGCAACAAAUAUCUUGGCUCUCGCAUCGAUGAAGAACAAAGCAAAAUGCGAUACUUGGUGUGAAUUGCAGAACCCCGCGAACCAUCGAGUCUUUGAACGCAAUUUGCGCCUAAGGAUAUCCGGCCGAGGGCACGUCUGCCUGGGCGUCA
rnacentral:rRNA from 1 species